AUUCCUACGGGAGGCAGCAGUGGGGAAUAUUGGACAAUGGGGGAAACCCUGAUCCAGCCAUGCCGCGUGUGUGAAGAAGGCCUUUUGGUUGUAAAGCACUUUAAGCAGUGAAGAAGACUCCGUGGUUAAUACCCAUGGACGAUGACAUUAGCUGCAGAAUAAGCACCGGCUAACUCUGUGCCAGCAGCCGCGGUAAUACAGAGGGUGCAAGCGUUAAUCGGAAUUACUGGGCGUAAAGGGAGCGUAGGUGGCUCGAUAAGUCAGAUGUGAAAUCCCCGGGCUCAACCUGGGAACUGCAUCUGAUACUGUUGAGCUAGAGUAUGUGAGAGGAAGGUAGAAUUCCAGGUGUAGCGGUGAAAUGCGUAGAGAUCUGGAGGAAUACCGAUGGCGAAGGCAGCCUUCUGGCAUAAUACUGACACUGAGGCUCGAAAGCGUGGGUAGCAAACAGGAUUAGAUACCCUGGUAGUCCACGCCGUAAACGAUGUCUACUAGUCGUUGGGUCCCUUGAGGACUUAGUGACGCAGCUAACGCAAUAAGUAGACCGCCUGGGGAGUACGGCCGCAAGGUUAAAACUCAAAGGAAUUGACGGAAU
rnacentral:rRNA from 1 species